AUUGAACGCUGGCGGCAGGCUUAACACAUGCAAGUCGAGCGGGGUGAUGGUGCUUGCACUAUCACUUAGCGGCGGACGGGUGAGUAAUGCUUAGGAAUCUGCCUAUUAGUGGGGGACAACAUCUCGAAAGGGAUGCUAAUACCGCAUACGUCCUACGGGAGAAAGCAGGGGAUCUUUAUGACCUUGCGCUAAUAGAUGAGCCUAAGUCGGAUUAGCUAGUUGGUGGGGUAAAGGCCUACCAAGGCGACGAUCUGUAGCGGGCCUGAGAGGAUGAUCCGCCACACUGGGACUGAGACACGGCCCAGACUCCUACGGGAGGCAGCAGUGGGGAAUAUUGGACAAUGGGGGGAACCCUGAUCCAGCCAUGCCGCGUGUGUGAAGAAGGCCUUAUGGUUGUAAAGCACUUUAAGCGAGGAGGAGGCUCUUUUGGUUAAUACCCAGAAUGAGUGGACGUUACUCGCAGAAUAAGCACCGGCUAACUCUGUGCCAGCAGCCGCGGUAA
rnacentral:rRNA from 1 species